GCAGCAGCCGCGGUAAUACGAAGGGUGCAAGCGUUACUCGGAAUUACUGGGCGUAAAGCGUGCGUAGGUGGUGGUUUAAGUCCGUUGUGAAAGCCCUGGGCUCAACCUGGGAAUUGCAGUGGAUACUGGGUCACUAGAGUGUGGUAGAGGAUAGUGGAAUUUCCGGUGUAGCAGUGAAAUGCGUAGAGAUCGGAAGGAACAUCUGUGGCGAAGGCGACUAUCUGGGCCAACACUGACACUGAGGCACGAAAGCGUGGGGAGCAAACAGGAUUAGAUACCCGAGUAGUCCCUGUCUCUUAUAA
rnacentral:rRNA from 1 species